CCAUCCAAACCCACCUCUAUCCCUACCCAAAACCAAAGCCGUGCUAUCCAUUGUUGUCUACAGCCUCCCAUUGUCGACGUUGUCGCCACCAUAGCCGUCGCCACUAUAGCACACAACGACCACAGUUACCACAAACACAGUAAAAUCCCUAGAUAACAAUCACAACACAAAGCAAAACCCAAAACCAAGCCCUUGCUAUCUACCACCAUCCACAGCGCCAGUAGGUGCCCCAUCGCCACCAUUGUCUAUGGGCACUACUAUCACUGCUAACACAAAACAAAAUCCCCAAAUCACAAUCACAAUCACAAUCACAACACAAAGCAAAAGCCCCCAAAUCAACCUCUAUAUUGAUUUGAUGAUCUGUUGACCCUUAAACUUCCUUUCGCCACCAAAUCAAUGGGUCUGGCUGAAGUUGACAAGCCCACCACCCCAUGCCAUGUGAAGCUUAAAAUCAAGAACUUUCAUUCACAAACAACACUCUUUCUCCCCUAUACCUUUGCAACAAAAGACCCCUCCAUUUUUAUCGCAAGCUUCCACCUUGACCUCGACACCUUCCGUCACCUUUCAAACAAGCGUAUUACCCUCAAAAUAUCAAUCAUCGUUGACUUUAUUGGACAUAUUUGUAGAGUCAGUUAGAGGGAGGGACGAUGGUAACAACGACGGGUGUAAGUGAAAAUUUAGAGCUGUAAUGAGGGAGAAAACGUGAAAGACGAUGAGAAAAGGAGUUUGUGAGAGGUGGAAAAAACAACGGUGGCAUGACACUCCGAGGAUGGCAUGAUCAGUAUUAGGUGGCGAUGGUGACGAGAUUGGAUUUCCCUAUUUUUGGGUAGUUGGGGUAGAAUGGGGUGGGAAGAAAUAAAUACAAGAGAAUGUUUUAAUUUAUAUCUUUUUUUUAUUUAAUUUUUUAUUUUUUAUAUUAAAAUUGUUAAGUCACAAGUUGCUCUUUUACAAUUUGGUCAAAAUCAAUUUCAUUUGGUCAACUAAUAGUCAAGUGUGUGGAUUUCAUCCAUUUGGACUCCAAAUACAUAUUUUUGAAAGGUUAGAAAUCUCUUUUCC
rnacentral:lncRNA from 1 species